UGAGGUCACGUGACAAACAAAAUUGGUUGCACGAGCUAACCCUUUCACGCGCCGGCGGGAAUUUAUUUCUCGGUACUGGCUUGGUUUGAGAGGAAAAUAAAGUAAAGACAUGAUCAAUGAAGGAUGUAACAACAGUAUCGCAAACUACGACAAAAGAAACUCUUCCUCAACUACAGUGAUGUGUGAGUGUUAGUGGUAUCCGGUGUGGCUGGACGGGUGUUAGCCAGUUUCAUCCCAAAUCUCCACCCAACAUAGCUGCUGCCCAGAGAUUAACUCUACCACAUAGACGAUUAAACCAGAGGGGCAGCCUGAAACGAUUACAGAUAACAUGAUGAUGAAGUCCCAUUGUUUGAAGUGCAGCCUUUUCCUG